UAGUUCAGCAUGGCCACUGACAGACGAGUCGUGUGGUUCCGUGACUGGGAAGCGAACCUGGGCUGCCGCAGCGGUGAGACCGCUGAACUGGAACCACUAGGCCAUCAGGGCUGGUUUGUGACGUUCAGGAUCUUGAAAGCAAUUGUAUCACAUACUUGGUCUUGUUCCUGCUACUUCAUCUUGGCUGGGUACCUAGACAUCUCAGUAAUUAUUUUUUGCUUUGGAAAAUAGAGUUAGUUUGCAUAAAGAUAUACCAUUAUGUUAAUAUGUAAUAAUUUUCUUACUGAUUUUAAAAUAAAUUAAUAACUAAUUUAAGAAAAUGUUUCAUUUUAAUUUCCAAUAUGGUAAAUAUUUAUAGAUGUAGUCCACAUAAAUAAAAGCUCUUUGGGAUCCUCAGUACUUUCUAAGAGUGAGUGUAAAACAAAGACUGACACGUCUGAGCACCACGUCCAUAAGCUGAGUUUAUGCGACCCCCACACAUCCUGUUGAGGUGGGUACUGUUGUUAUCAACCCUGUUUUACAGAUGAGGAGACUGAGCCCGAGCAGGGGAGCAGUUGUCCAAAAUCAUACAGUCAGUAAGUGCCAGACGGUGUUUGAACACGAAUCAGCUGACUCCAUGGUUUGUGUCUUCAAACCAUCAUGCCACAGUGCCUUUAAUAGCAUGGGUUUGUUGAUUUCCUACAACAUUUCUAAGCAUCACAGAGUAACCACUAGAUGGAGGCCCAGUCCUUGUUCCCCCAGGUUUCUCCAUUCCCUUCUUGCCCAGCAGAAUCCUUGGGCUCCAAGUGCCCGACUUUGUGGUGUUCCCAGGGAAAAGAUGUGGGGUUGAUCUCUGCUGUGCCCUCACACGUGGACCUCACACUAAUGGACUGGAUCCUAACUGACAGACGUGUGGGUGGAACUGCAUCUUUUCUGGGUGGCACCUGCACGUGUCCAUUUAAUGGAACAGCAUCAGUGCUGGUCCAAGUUACUGUGCACUGGGGGUCCCGACACCUGCCUCUCCUGGGGCAGAUCUCAGACUAGUGUAUAGCUAUAAAAGUGAGGAAUAUAUAAGAUGAGUUUGAGCAUCAAUUGCCUUUUCAAACAGAUUCUAUUUUUAAAAGAAUACUUUCCAUCAAGAUUUCUUCCAAUUAUAGGUUCCUUAGACAUAAUUAAACUUGUUUUACUUGUACAAAUUCAGUUCAGGAAAAGAUUUGUUGAGCAGAGUGGUAUUUGCGAUGCUUUGGGCACCGGGAGUGUGAUAUGUACUCUACAUUUAGGCAGCUCAUCAUCCGAGUCUAAAACUUACCAAGAAUGUUCAUUUAAAAAUGUUUACUGAGCAGCAGCUCUGAAUGGAGCCCUGUCUGGUCCAGGAGGUGGGCCGUGAACAAGGCUGGAGUCUGCUCUUGGAGAGUUUACAUUCUGGGGUGUAGCAUGUUUAUAACGUGAAGGCAGGCCAUUUUAAACAAUAUGGCAGGAUGGUAUAGCAGCUCUGGCUCCAACAGAUAGCUGAGUCCCUGCUGUGUAUCUAGCUGGCCUUUUCUUGCGUGCCGUGCCGCAUAAAAGUAAACAGUUCCACCCUUGGGGGUGUAAAAUUUGAUCGAGGAACAAAAAUCAGUGAUCCCCCUAAGAGCUGGAUACACAAGCCGUGUCCACGGUGCGUACAGAUGCUGCUGCCUCCCUCCAGGGAGCACAGGGCCGGGGAGGCCCUGCAGCGGGGCGAUGCACGGCACUGCGUCCUGCCCGCUGCUGUUCGCCGGGGAGCCCUGGGCAGCACCAUCUGGCAUGGACAUGUGCGGUGAAGAACAGCACAGGAAGUGGCAGACACACAAGACCAGAUUGAGUGCAAAUAACUGCACAGAUAAGACUGCAGCCAAAGUGCAGUCAGCAUCCAUCUGUGCUGUGAAACUCAAGGAAAUUUCUCUUCUUUCUAUUUCUGGGCAUUUGCCAAUACAGUGAAAUUUUUAUAGCGAAGAUUAUACAAUAAUUUAAAGUAAUAGAAAUAAUCCUGAGAUUUUCUCCUUUCAAGGAACACAAUCACUGGCAAGAACGUGUCUUAGUAGCCGUUUGGGGCUAUUGGAGCAGGUGCGGGUUUCUUUUCUCCAUGCCCUCGUGAGGCUUGGUGUUGGCAUGUGUACAGGCUGGAAACAUCAGCCUUGCUGGGGCUCAGGGCUCAGGAGUUGAGUAAAUGCUCAGUUUAGCGGCUGCCAGAUAGAGGCCCCAUGGUGGCCGGCCCUCUGUUGGCUCCUCUGAGUUCGGAGGGCAGCUGUUGCUCCCUCCUUUUGUGCUGCAGUCCAGGCCCCGGGCCUGCAGGGAAAUGGGUUUUCAGUGGCCCGCCCAGCGGGCACCUCCCCAGGGAGGCCGGCCUUUCCUUCCUCGGCUUCCUCCAUCUUCCACACACACCCCCACCCCAAGGUGCCCCGCCCUGCAGCUCCCAGCAAGCCUCCUGCCCAGAGAGAAUUGAACUGGAGUGCCUGGGUGUCCCAUGGCGGCUGGACACUCCCAGCUGCUGCCCGGUCCUUCUCCAAGUGGCCGUGCCAAGCAGGCCAGGCAGCUGCUAUUUCCCCCAGAGAAGUUGCUGGCAGUGCUCGGGGAAGGAAGCGGCAGAAGGAGGCGGAGUGGAGACUCAGCCCCUGAGCAACAUGUCCAACGCCUUGGCCAAUGCAGUGUGCCAGCGCUGCCAGGCGCGCUUCGCUCCCGCUGAGCGCAUCGUCAACAGCAACGGAGAGCUGUACCACGAGCAAUGCUUCGUGUGCGCCCAGUGCUUCCGGCCGUUCCCCGAGGGGCUCUUCUACGAGUUUGAAGGCCGGAAGUACUGCGAACACGACUUCCAAAUGCUGUUUGCUCCGUGCUGCGGAUCCUGCGGUAAGGGCUGCGACACCCCGGCACUGCCCAGGAAGGGCGAGUUCAUCAUCGGCCGUGUCAUCAAGGCCAUGAACAACAGCUGGCACCCGGGGUGCUUCCGCUGUGAGCUGUGUGACGUGGAGCUGGCUGACCUGGGCUUUGUGAAGAACGCGGGCAGGCACCUGUGCCGGCCUUGCCACAACCGUGAGAAGGCCAAGGGCCUGGGCAAGUACAUCUGUCAGCGGUGCCACCUGGUCAUCGACGAGCAGCCCCUCAUGUUCAGGAAUGAUGCGUACCACCCGGACCACUUCAGCUGCACCCACUGUGGGAAAGAGCUGACUGCUGAGGCCCGUGAGCUGAAGGGUGAGCUCUACUGCCUGCCCUGCCAUGACAAGAUGGGCGUCCCCAUCUGUGGGGCCUGCCGCCGGCCCAUCGAGGGUCGUGUGGUCAAUGCGCUGGGCAAGCAGUGGCAUGUGGAGGUGAGUGGGGUUGGCCCAGAUGGGAGGUGGCGUCCCCAUGAAGCCCUCCGCUCUCCCACCCCCAGAACGUGGGCUGGCUCCCAGCAGGCACCUUCCUCUUGGGUGCUGCCCCUCCUCCCUCUGGCUGGGGACCAGCUGGUCCACAGGAGCCAGGAGACCAGAGCGCACAGCCCAUGGUUGGGCAGCCACGCUCAUCUUCCUUCUUCCCCCUGCUGGCCUUCUAGAGGAUUCCAAAGUGAUAAGAAACCCUUGGGGACCACCUGCCCAGGCAGCUGGGUGGGACUGCAGCUGACGGAACCGGGUGUGCGUACAGCCCACACAGACGUGGAAGCCGGGCACACCUGCAGGGGAGCUCCUUAGGUGUGUCCCAUGGGUCACCUGGCGCACUCACCCCUGCACUGGGGCUCUAAUGGUCCUAUGGACACUACUCGGAAGGGAGGUUUUCGAUCCCCAGUGACCUGGCCAGCUGUGUAUCCCAGAACCUCUGCCUUGGGUGGUGUCUUUGAGAAGGUCGCCAUGCAGCCCUGGCCCCCGCGCGCUGUGGGAGGGGAUCCUCACACGCAGAGUCCUCACCAAACAGAAGAUGCUGCUCUGAGACUGCAGGCCUGGCCCCUGGGGGAUGCCCAUGGGGGGCAGGUGCAUGCAGCCUUCUGAGGGGCACCAUACUGACACCAGCAGCCCCCCAGGAGGGCCCGCACCUGACAACUUGGGCUGAGGCUGCAGGCCUGGAGAGGACGGGGACGCCGGUGUCACUGGGUGUUACAGAAGGAGCGGGGUCUGCUGACCCAGGGCGGUGGCCCACUGCCCCACUGUGAGCCAGCGAGGCACUCUCCCCAGGGGCCUCUGCUUCCUGUCCCCCCGCCACUCCCCAGCCCCGACACUGCCCUCUCCCCUAGCACUUUGUCUGCGCCAAGUGUGAGAAGCCGUUCCUGGGUCACCGGCACUACGAGAAGAAGGGCCUGGCUUACUGUGAGACCCACUACAACCAGCUCUUUGGGGACGUCUGCUACAACUGCGGUCGUGUGAUUGAGGGCGAUG